CUGAUCUUGACAUCCCUCUGACCGGUCUGUAAUGAGGCCUUCCCUUCGGGGCAGAGGAGACAGGUGGUGCAUGGUUGUCGUCAGCUCGUGUCGUGAGAUGUUGGGUUAAGUCCCGCAACGAGCGCAACCCCUAUCCUUAGUAGCCAGCAGUAAGAUGGGAACUCUAGGGAGACUGCCGGGGAUAACCCGGAGGAAGGUGGGGAUGACGUCAAAUCAUCAUGCCCCUUAUGACCAGGGCUACACACGUGCUACAAUGGCGUAAACAAAGGGAGGCGAGACUGUGAAGUGGAGCAAAUCCCAAAAAUAGCGUCUCAGUUCGGAUUGUAGUCUGCAACUCGACUACAUGAAGCUGGAAUCGCUAGUAAUCGCAGAUCAGAAUGCUGCGGUGAAUACGUUCCC
rnacentral:rRNA from 1 species